AUUGAACGCUGGCGGCAGGCCUAACACAUGCAAGUCGAGCGGCAGCGGAAAGUAGCUUGCUACUUUGCCGGCGAGCGGCGGACGGGUGAGUAAUGUCUGGGAAACUGCCUGAUGGAGGGGGAUAACUACUGGAAACGGUAGCUAAUACCGCAUGACCUCGAAAGAGCAAAGUGGGGGAUCUUCGGACCUCACGCCAUCGGAUGUGCCCAGAUGGGAUUAGCUAGUAGGUGAGGUAAUGGCUCACCUAGGCGACGAUCCCUAGCUGGUCUGAGAGGAUGACCAGCCACACUGGAACUGAGACACGGUCCAGACUCCUACGGGAGGCAGCAGUGGGGAAUAUUGCACAAUGGGCGCAAGCCUGAUGCAGCCAUGCCGCGUGUGUGAAGAAGGCCUUAGGGUUGUAAAGCACUUUCAGCGAGGAGGAAGGCACCAUACUUAAUACGUGUGGUGAUUGACGUUACUCGCAGAAGAAGCACCGGCUAACUCCGUGCCAGCAGCCGCGGUAAUACGGAGGGUGCAAGCGUUAAUCGGAAUUACUGGGCGUAAAGCGCACGCAGGCGGUUUGUUAAGUCAGAUGUGAAAUCCCCGCGCUUAACGUGGGAACUGCAUCUGAAACUGGCAAGCUAGAGUCUUGUAGAGGGGGGUAGAAUUCCAGGUGUAGCGGUGAAAUGCAUAGAGAUCUGGAUGAAUACCGGUGGCGAAGGCGGGCCCCCCUGGACAAAUCUGACUCUCAUGUGGCAAAAGCGUGGGGAGCAAACAUG
rnacentral:rRNA from 1 species